GGAGAGGUGGCAGAGUGGUCGAAUGCGCUGGUCUCGAAAACCGGUAUGGGGGCAACCCCAUCGAGGGUUCGAAUCCCUCCCUCUCCG
rnacentral:tRNA from 2 species